rnacentral:lncRNA from 1 species
AAGAAGAAGGAGGAGGAGGAAGGAGAAGUAGGAGGAAGAUGAAAGAAGUUUGAGAAAGUGUUACAGAAAUGCUCAACCAUCUGUACCUAUUUUCUCAAAAUAUUUUAAUCUGAUGACUUCACCUCCACAUUUAUUUCUGGACACAGGAUAAUCAUUUCAUCAGGUUUUCCUCACCGUUUGCUCCGAAUCAACGGCUCCUUCAUUUUGUACACCCAUGAACAGGACUCUGUCCCUCUUUUGAGGCACACGGAAAUGACGAAGUUGAAAUAAAUUAAGA